GACAGGGUGUCUGAGUUGGAGUCAGGAAGACAUGGGUUCAAAUCCCAUCUUAGUCA
rnacentral:tRNA from 1 species